AUGCUUUCCUCGAUGGGUGUCGCAUAUCUGAAUAUCAAUGUUUUAGUAGUCGAUCCGGUUUUAAUCCCAUCUACAACUCCCCAACUUGAUGAACUACUACUGGAAACAAUUAAACUUGUUCAAGACCCCGACAAUUCAUCUCGGACGGUUUAUGAUUCAUGGGUCAAAUCCAAUGCUUCUCCCAAGAUUCAACGACUGGGCAAUGGAGGAUCAGACUAUGCAGCAUUCGUUCAACAUGUUGGCAUUCCAUCAACCAACUUGAUAUUUGGAGAAGGUAGGGGCGCACUUCGUGUUGUUUAUUCUUACGGUUUCUCGUAUCUCUAA
rnacentral:rRNA from 1 species